rnacentral:misc_RNA from 1 species
GAUGAAGAACGUAGCGAAAUGCGAUAAGUAAUGUGAAUUGCAGAAUUCAGUGAAUCAUCGAAUCUUUGAACGCACAUUGCGCCCGGUAGUAUUCUGCCGGGCAUGCCUGUUCGAGCGUCAUUUCAACCCUCAAGACCCCUUCGGGGGACUUGGUGUUGGGGACCGGCACAGGGGCCUGCCUGCUUGUCUUGCAGCGCCCUCGCCGCCCCCGAAAUGAAUUGGCGGCCUCGUCGCGGCCUCCCCUGCGUAGUAGCACAAACCUCGCAACGGGAACGUGACGGCGGCCACUGCCGUAAAACAACCCAAUUUUAUUAGAGUUGACCUCGAAUCAGGUAGGAAUACCCGCUGAACUUAAGCAUAUCAAUAAGCGGAGGA